rnacentral:lncRNA from 1 species
UAAGAGAUAUUCUUCAUCUUCAACCUUAAGCCAUCGGACCAAUCAAUCAACACCCCUAAAUAGCGGACACCACCCAAAAGAGGAAAGGAGCCGCCUCACCCCUCUCUGAAUUCCUCCAUCCUAAGAGCAAAUAGCAGGAGCCGUCCAAACCCUCAUUGCUUCAGCCAUGGAAACCACCCAAAAGUCACUUUCUUCACCAAGCAAACUCCAAACUUCAGCUGAAUAAUCCACCCCAAAAUCGCAACAAAACAACCUGUGAUUGCAGCUAGGAAGAGCAGCGAAAAUUAGCUGCAAAACAGUCCAAAUUGCUGCUCCCUUUUCCACCCAAAAUCAACACCAAAACACCACCUCAAACCACCCCAAAUGAGCUCUGUUUUCUGCUCAAAAAAUACCCAAAACCCAGCAAAAUCCAAUUCAAAAAUAGCCAGAAACGCAGUUGGAAAUCACCCAGCCAAACAAGUUCAAAAUCAGUCCAAACUCAGUUCUGAAACCAUCUUUAAAGUGAGGCGAUGUUCGAGUUCGCCGGUCCGAGGUCCGGCGAUGUCGUUUGAAGUUUUCGAUCUAGUUUCGGUCAAAGUUUUCAACUUUCUCGGUUCGAGCUCAUCGGCCGUUAAUUUUAGAUGCUGUAAAUUUUAAUCAAAUGAAAGAACUUUAUUUCACUCAAAGGUUUAUUUUCUUCACCUUACUCUAUGAACUUCUAUCUUAAUUGCUGUUGCUCAUU